rnacentral:misc_RNA from 1 species
CUUCGCUCUGAGGACUUGCUAAGCUUGCGGUGUCCUUGCUAUCGGCUGUAUCGACCUCCUCUCGCCUCGCCCGCCCGACUUGCCGCCGCCUACCGCAGCCGCACGGCCUCGACGUUCAGUGCGUGAGCUCCCUGGAGAGCUGCGCGCUCGCUGGACGGCGGAACAAGCGGGAAGUGGACGCGAGAAUCCGAUAGCUCCUCCUCGCGCCAGAACUCGACGAGCGGAUGCGGGAGUAGCAGCAGGACUUGCCGUCCAGCGACGCCACGCUCCAGUCCCCAGGCGCCUCUCCAACGUGCGCAACUGGCUUGCGUCUUCGUCACCUUGCAAGACUUUUCGCC